rnacentral:lncRNA from 1 species
GCUGGACAUUAGAGAGAGUGCAGGUUUGAGUGCUCAGCACUGUUGGUUUUUGUCAGAUGUUGAAGGAGCGUUAGCGUCUGGAAACAACCGGCAGAUUUUAAACUGAGUGACGGUUCAAAUGUAAAUGUGUCGCUGUUUGCGGGACCGAGUCGUAAGCUCGUUGGUCUAAUCAGAGCCGAGAGUUUCUGCCAUGUUUGAAAGUUAAUUUUAGAGUGCUCAGGCUGUAACACUCCAUCUUGGGAACCCGCCAUGCUUCCACGGAAGCAUGGCUGUCAUAAACCAGCACUGGAUCGGAGGUGGGUUUCAGACCGGCUUGCAGAUGUGGGCAGGAUACAGCAACUUUAAUACUGGCCCCUGUAGGAGAGAAUAUCAGCUGAUCUGCCUCCUCGCAGCUUUUAUUUCACGGCUGCCCCGGGCCUCAAUGGGAAUGUCAGCACUGAAGAAUGCUUCGCCCUCCUCCUCCUCCCGCUCCGCUCGCCAGGAUUCAGCCGCCGUCCAGCCGGCUGACAGCUUCCCCACCACAUCACCUGGCGACUAAAGGGACCACACACACUCCUCGUCCUCUGUGCCCGGCUAAUUCUUCUUCUUGGCUUUUCUGGAGGGCGAGACUGUUUUCAGCCACAGGUCUUUUCUUUCUGGCAGCUUUUCACCCUCAAGCACUUCCAAACAAAUUUCAAGCAUGAGUGUAAAAGCUGUCGAGUGUUAUUGGACAAAAGAAAUGUCCCCCCCCGUUUGUUCCAGGUCGAAACUUUACAGCACUCAGAUCUGUGUUAGUCAUUCAGCAUCCACAGCAGAGCAGUGACAAGUCAUAUUUUGCCAGGACCACACAUGCAAGACUUUAUUAUCCCAGAGGGAAAUUUCCUCUGGACGUACAGUAAACAAACGAAGCGUCCAAUAAAUUCAUACUGAAAUAAAAAAGAAACUAUCAACGAGAGAAAUCUUUAUCGUAAACUACACUGUCACAGUGUGGUACAUACAGCAUAUAUACGAAAGAAAAAUGUCUGAUGUCAG